GAUGCAUCUGCCGUCAGUUGGCGUUCACUCGUUCUGCUUCUGCUGACUACAGUAAAAUAUGAAGGUUAGAACAGAAGUCAAGCCUCAAAAAUUACAGCAAGUGUUUAAGACGAAUUUGUUUGGCAGUUAAUCUUGGUUCUAACAAUAGUUCACAUCCAAAUUUUCUUCGUUGUUCUAUGAAAUGUAUCAGGCAAUAUGUAUAUCCUUUGAAUCACUUAGGUCAAUGACCAUGGUCGACAAGGCUAUUCGCCCCCUUCCUCCUCGUCC
rnacentral:misc_RNA from 1 species